AACGGUAAUAACCCUAGAAGAAGAUGAAGAUAGACAUGAAAAGGAAAAUGUGGUAAAAUGUGAUGAUAAUUUUAAAUCCCAAAGUAAUAAUGAUAUGAGAAACUGAAUGGUAUAGAUUACCUGCGGAUGUGAGAGAAAAUAAUCCAACGGUUUGAGUUUUUCCGUAACCGAAGAGUCUUCUUAUCAAAUCCAAGGCAGAUAGUCACCUAGAAAACUGAAAAAGCUGCCAUCCUGACACUAAAUUAAAUGCGCCCAAGCCAGAAGGAGAGAUCGCCGGGAACAUCAGCUCUGGCAUAUGGUCAAACUCUUAACAUUAUUCGUUUAACCAUAUUAGGGUGGGAGUAGCUUAUGAGGGGUGAAAUAUGUAUUCAUCCAAGAUCGUGCCACGUGACCUACUCAAAUAAGCCAGAAUAUUAGAAGAGAUGGAUAGCACCAGAGAACACUCAUCUUCAAACAAUCUCCAGAGUAGACCAAGCCAAAGAAAAUCAGGAUAGAGAAAAUCAAGUCAGAGGAGACCGAACCAGAGAAGACCGAGUCAAAAAAGUGGAUAUCAGAGAAGCGAUUACCAGAGGAGCGGUCCCAGGCCAAGUUAGAGAGGCGGUUCCAGAGCUGGUGUUAGAGACAAUGCUCUGACAAAGAAUCUGACACCUUUCUAGGAGAUAUCCGCUUAGGCUUAGGUAGU
rnacentral:lncRNA from 1 species